rnacentral:rRNA from 1 species
GUGGGGAAUAUUGGACAAUGGGCGCAAGCCUGAUCCAGCCAUGCCGCGUGAGUGAUGAAGGCCCUAGGGUUGUAAAGCUCUUUCAGUGGGGACGAUAAUGACGGUACCCACAGAAGAAGCCCCGGCUAACUUCGUGCCAGCAGCCGCGGUAAUACGAAGGGGGCUAGCGUUGUUCGGAUUUACUGGGCGUAAAGCGCACGUAGGCGGAUCGUUAAGUCGAGGGUGAAAUCCUGGAGCUCAACUCCAGAACUGCCUUCGAUACUGGCGAUCUUGAGUCCGGAAGAGGUGAGUGGAACUCCUAGUGUAGAGGUGGAAUUCGUAGAUAUUAGGAAGAACAACAGUGGCGAAGGCGGCUCACUGGUCCGGUACUGACGCUGAGGUGCGAAAGCGUGGGGAGCAAACAGGAUUAGAUACCCGGGUAGUCC